rnacentral:rRNA from 1 species
GACGUAGGGGACGAGCGUUGUCCGGAAUCAUUGGGCGUAAAGCGCGUGUAGGCGGCCCGAUAAGUCCGCUGUGAAAGUCCAGGGCUCAACCCUGGGAUGCCGGUGGAUACUGUCGGGCUCGAGUCCGGAAGAGGCGAGUGGAAUUCCUGGUGUAGCGGUGAAAUGCGCAGAUAUCAGGAGGAACACCAAUGGCGAAGGCAGCUCGCUGGGACGUGACUGACGCUGAGACGCGAAAGCGUGGGGAGCAAACAGG